rnacentral:rRNA from 1 species
GUCCACACAGUAAACGAUGAUAACUCGCUGUCGGCGAUACAAUGUCGGUGGCCAAGAGAAAUCGAUAAGUUAUCCACCUGGGGAGUACGACCGCAAGGUUGAAACUCAAAGGAAUUGACGGGGGCCAGCACAAGCGGAGGAACAUGUGGUUUAAUUCGAUGAUACGCGAGGAACCUUACCCGGGCUCGAACGGCUGGUGAACGAUUCAGAGAUGAAGAGGUCCUUUGGGACGCCAGUCGAGGUGCUGCAUGGUUGUCGU